UGAGCAAUCUGCCCUUCUCUUUGGAAUAAGCGUUGGAAACGACGUCUAAUACCGGAUACGACCUCCGAUGGCAUCAUCUGGAGGUGGAAAGCUCCGACGGUCAAGGAUGGGCUCGCGGCCUAUCAGCUUGUUGGUGAGGUAACGGCUCACCAAGGCUUCGACGGGUAGCCGGCCUGAGAGGGCGACCGGCCACACUGGGACUGAGAUACGGCCCAGACUCCGUACGGGGAGGCAG
rnacentral:rRNA from 1 species